rnacentral:rRNA from 1 species
UUAAGCGACUAAGCGUACACGGUGGAUGCCCUGGCAGUCAGAGGCGAUGAAGGACGUGCUAAUCUGCGAAAAGCGUCGGUAAGGUGAUAUGAACCGUUAUAACCGGCGAUGUCCGAAUGGGGAAACCCAGUGCAAUUCGUUGCACUAUCGUUAACUGAAUACAUAGGUUAACGAGGCGAACCGGGGGAACUGAAACAUCUAAGUACCCCGAGGAAAAGAAAUCAACCGAGAUUCCCCCAGUAGCGGCGAGCGAACGGGGAGCAGCCCAGAGUCUGAAUCAGCUUGUGUGUUAGUGGAACGGUCUGGAAAGUCCGACGGUACAGGGUGAUAGUCCCGUACACCAAAAUGCACAGGUUGUGAACUCGAAGAGUAGGGCGGGACACGUGGUAUCCUGUCUGAAUAUGGGGGGACCAUCCUCCAAGGCUAAAUACUCCUGACUGACCGAUAGUGAACCAGUACCGUGAGGGAAAGGCGAAAAGAACCCCGGCGAGGGGAGUGAAAAAGAACCUGAAACCGUGUACGUACAAGCAGUGGGAGCACCUUCGGGUGUGACUGCGUACCUUUUGUAUAAUGGGUCAGCGACUUAUAUUCUGUAGCAAGGUUAACCGUAUAGGGGAGCCGCAGGGAAACCGAGUCUUAACUGGGCGUUAAGUUGCAGGGUAUAGACCCGAAACCCGGUGAUCUAGCCAUGGGCAGGUUGAAGGUUGGGUAACACUAACUGGAGGACCGAACCGACUAAUGUUGAAAAAUUAGCGGAUGACUUGUGGCUGGGGGUGAAAGGCCAAUCAAACCGGGAGAUAGCUGGUUCUCCCCGAAAGCUAUUUAGGUAGCGCCUCGUGAAUUCAUCUUCGGGGGUAGAGCACUGUUUCGGCUAGGGGGUCAUCCCGACUUACCAACCCGAUGCAAACUACGAAUACCGAAGAAUGUUAUCACGGGAGACACACGGCGGGUGCUAACGUCCGUCGUGAAGAGGGAAACAACCCAGACCGCCAGCUAAGGUCCCAAAGUCAUGGUUAAGUGGGAAACGAUGUGGGAAGGCACAGACAGCCAGGAUGUUGGCUUAGAAGCAGCCAUCAUUUAAAGAAAGCGUAAUAGCUCACUGGUCGAGUCGGCCUGCGCGGAAGAUGUAACGGGGCUAAACCAUGCACCGAAGCUGCGGCAGCGACACUAUGUGUUGUUGGGUAGGGGAGCGUUCUGUAAGCCUGCGAAGGUGGCCUGUGAGGGUUGCUGGAGGUAUCAGAAGUGCGAAUGCUGACAUAAGUAACGAUAAAGCGGGUGAAAAGCCCGCUCGCCGGAAGACCAAGGGUUCCUGUCCAACGUUAAUCGGGGCAGGGUGAGUCGACCCCUAAGGCGAGGCCGAAAGGCGUAGUCGAUGGGAAACAGGUUAAUAUUCCUGUACUUGGUGUUACUGCGAAGGGGGGACGGAGAAGGCUAUGUUAGCCGGGCGACGGUUGUCCCGGUUUAAGCAUGUAGGCUGGUUAUCCAGGCAAAUCCGGAUAAUCAAGGCUGAGGUGUGAUGACGAGGCACUACGGUGCUGAAGUAACAAAUGCCCUGCUUCCAGGAAAAGCCUCUAAGCAUCAGGUAACAUUAAAUCGUACCCCAAACCGACACAGGUGGUCAGGUAGAGAAUACCAAGGCGCUUGAGAGAACUCGGGUGAAGGAACUAGGCAAAAUGGUGCCGUAACUUCGGGAGAAGGCACGCUGGUGUGUAGGUGAAGUCCCUGCGGAUGGAGCUGAGACCAGUCGAAGAUACCAGCUGGCUGCAACUGUUUAUUAAAAACACAGCACUGUGCAAACACGAAAGUGGACGUAUACGGUGUGACGCCUGCCCGGUGCCGGAAGGUUAAUUGAUGGGGUUAUCCGUAAGGAGAAGCUCUUGAUCGAAGCCCCGGUAAACGGCGGCCGUAACUAUAACGGUCCUAAGGUAGCGAAAUUCCUUGUCGGGUAAGUUCCGACCUGCACGAAUGGCGUAAUGAUGGCCAGGCUGUCUCCACCCGAGACUCAGUGAAAUUGAACUCGCUGUGAAGAUGCAGUGUACCCGCGGCAAGACGGAAAGACCCCGUGAACCUUUACUAUAGCUUGACACUGAACAUUGAGCCUUGAUGUGUAGGAUAGGUGGGAGGCUUUGAAGCGUGGACGCCAGUCUGCGUGGAGCCAACCUUGGAAUACCACCCUUUAAUGUUUGAUGUUCUAACGUUGGCCCCUGACCGGGGUUGCGGACAGUGUCUGGUGGGUAGUUUGACUGGGGCGGUCUCCUCCCAAAGCGUAACGGAGGAGCACGAAGGUUAGCUAAUCCUGGUCGGACAUCAGGAGGUUAGUGCAAUGGCAUAAGCUAGCUUGACUGCGAGCGUGACGGCGCGAGCAGGUGCGAAAGCAGGUCAUAGUGAUCCGGUGGUUCUGAAUGGAAGGGCCAUCGCUCAACGGAUAAAAGGUACUCCGGGGAUAACAGGCUGAUACCGCCCAAGAGUUCAUAUCGACGGCGGUGUUUGGCACCUCGAUGUCGGCUCAUCACAUCCUGGGGCUGAAGUAGGUCCCAAGGGUAUGGCUGUUCGCCAUUUAAAGUGGUACGCGAGCUGGGUUUAGAACGUCGUGAGACAGUUCGGUCCCUAUCUGCCGUGGGCGCUGGAGAAUUGAGGGGGGCUGCUCCUAGUACGAGAGGACCGGAGUGGACGCAUCACUGGUGUUCGGGUUGUCAUGCCAAUGGCACUGCCCGGUAGCUAAAUGCGGAAGAGAUAAGUGCUGAAAGCAUCUAAGCACGAAACUUGCCCCGAGAUGAGUUCUCCCUGAGACUUUAAGUCUCCUGAAGGAACGUUAAAGACGAUGACGUUGAUAGGCCGGGUGUGUAAGCGCAGCGAUGCGUUGAGCUAACCGGUACUAAUGAACCGUGAGGCUUAACCUU